CCUACGGGAGGCAGCAGUAGGGAAUCUUGCACAAUGGACGAAAGUCUGAUGGAGCAACGCCGCGUGAGGGAAGAAGGGUUUCGGCUCGUAAAGCUCUGUUGGUAGUGAAGAAAGAGAGAGGUAGUAACUGGCCUUUAGUUGACGGUAAUUACUUAGAAAGUCACGGCUAACUACGUGCCAGCAGCCGCGGUAAUACGUAGGUGGCAAGCGUUGUCCGGAUUUAUUGGGCGUAAAGCGAGUGCAGGCGGUUCAAUAAGUCUGAGGUGAAAGCCUUCGGCUCAACCGGAGAAUUGCAUCAGAAACUGUUGAACUUGAGUGCAGAAGAGGGAAGUGGAACUCCAUGUGUAGCGGUGAAAUGCGUAGAUAUAUGGAAGAACACCAGUGGCGAAGGCGGCUCUCUGGUCUGCAACUGACGCUGAGGCUCGAAAGCGUGGGUAGCGAACAGGAUUAGAUACCCUUGUAGUC
rnacentral:rRNA from 1 species